rnacentral:rRNA from 1 species
GACGAACGCUGGCGGCGUGCUUAACACAUGCAAGUCGAACGGAAAGGCCCUGCUUUUGUGGGGUGCUCGAGUGGCGAACGGGUGAGUAACACGUGAGUAACCUGCCCUUGACUUUGGGAUAACUUCAGGAAACUGGGGCUAAUACAGGAUAGGAGCUCCUCCUGCAUGGUGGGGGUUGGAGAGUUUCGGCGGUGGGGGAUGGACUCGCGGCUUCUCAGCUGGUUGGUGGGGUAGUGGCUUACCAAUGGAUCGACGGGUAGCCGGCCUGAGAGGGUGACCGGCCACAUUGGGACUGAGAUACGGCCCAGACGCCUACGGGGGGCAGCAGUGGGGAAUAUUGCACCACGGGCGGAAGCCUGAUGCAGCAACGCCGCGGGCGGGAUGACGGCCUUCGGGGUGUAAACCGCUUUCGCCUGUGACGAAGCGUGAGUGACGGUAACGGGUAAAGAAGCACCGGCUAACUACGUG